GAUGACAGAAUCAGCUUUUGGUUGGUGCAGUCUCAGCUCACUGCAGCCUCAAACUCCUGGGCAGCUCAGGUGAUCUUCCCGACUCAGCCUUCUAAGUAGCUGGGGCUACAGAGUCUUGCCAUGCUGCCCAGGCUGGAGUGCAGUGGUGUGAUCUCGGCUCACUGCAGCCUCCACCUCCUGGGCUCCAGCAGUCCUCCCACCUCAGCCUCCCUAAGAGCUGAGACUACAGUGCACAGCCAGAGGACAACACAUCACACACAAGAAACAGUUGUGCUCAUGUGAUGGGGGCCUCAGCACUAGGAAGGAGUGGACUGUUGGCGCACGCAGCAGCUUGAAUAAAUCUGAAAGUCACUACGCUGCGUAAGAGAAGCCAAAUAAAGCGCAUGCUGUGUACAGAGGGUGUCGAGAAUGCCUCCUACGUGACGGAAAGCAGAUCCGUGGUUCCCUGCAGACUGGCAGGAGCAGAUUCCAAAGGCACAGGAAGAAGCUUGCAGCUUCUCAGAUGACCAAGAUGGUGCUGCAGAUGGUGCUGAGGAUGGAGAACCCACCAAGCCCCGCUAGGAGCCACCUAGACUGGAUGCAGA
rnacentral:lncRNA from 10 species